UGGGGAAUUUUGGACGAUGGGCGAAAGCCUGAUCCAGCAAUGCCGCGUGUGUGAAGAAGGCCUUCGGGUUGUAAAGCACUUUUGUCCGGAAAGAAAUCCUCUGGGUUAAUACCUCGGGGGGAUGACGGUACCGGAAGAAUAAGCACCGGCUAACUACGUGCCAGCAGCCGCGGUAAUACGUAGGGUGCAAGCGUUAAUCGGAAUUACUGGGCGUAAAGCGUGCGCAGGCGGUUUUGUAAGACGGAUGUGAAAUCCCCGGGCUUAACCUGGGAACUGCAUUCGUGACUGCAAGGCUAGAGUAUGGCAGAGGGGGGUAGAAUUCCACGUGUAGCAGUGAAAUGCGUAGAGAUGUGGAGGAAUACCGAUGGCGAAGGCAGCCCCCUGGGCCAAUACUGACGCUCAUGCACGAAAGCGUGGGGAGCAAACAGGAUUAGAUACCCUGGUAGUCCACGCCCUAAAACGAUGUCAACUAGUUGUUGGGGAUUCAUUUCCUUAGUAACGUAGCUAACGCGUGAAGUUGACCGCCUGGGGAGUACGGUCGCAAGAUUAAAACUCAAAUGAAUUGACGGGGUCAUAGCUG
rnacentral:rRNA from 1 species